rnacentral:rRNA from 1 species
UACGUAGGAGGCAAGCGUUGUCCGGAAUUACUGGGCGUAAAGCGCGUGUAGGUGGUGGGACAAGUCUGCUGUGAAAGCGCCUGGCUUAACCGGGCGAGGUCGGCGGAAACUGUUCGACUCGAGGACGGUAGAGGGGGGUGGAAUUCCCGGUGUAGUGGUGAAAUGCGUAGAGAUCGGGAGGAACACCUGUGGCGAAGGCGGCCCCCCUGGGCCGGCCCCUGACACUGAGACGCGAAGGCGUGGGGGAGCGAACGGG